UAUAAGUGCAGUUGUGGAUUUUCAUGUUCAACACCUGUUUUAUUUAAUUUUUUAUAGUUAGCAUUUUAAUUAUUAUUAGAUGAUAAAACAUAUAUAAUACUUAUGUGUGACUUACUUUUUUAAUUUUUUUAUAAACUUUUUAAAUAGAUCGAGCGGUCAAACAUAGGAUAAAAAACCGACAACUAUACUUAAA
rnacentral:pre_miRNA from 1 species